GAACAAGUAGAAGAUUUAAGAGAGUCGAGGGUGAGUAAGAAAAGUGUGACUAAUGAAGCAACAUUGAAGAGGGCAAGAAUAGAGACACCAUCACCAUUGCCAACUUUUAAGGUCAGAAAAGAGAAAUUGGGGGACCGUAUUACUGCUCUCCAGCAAUUGGUUUCACCUUUCGGAAAGACUGAUACAGCUUCAGUUCUCCAUGAAGCUAUUGAGUACAUCAAGU
rnacentral:misc_RNA from 1 species